rnacentral:rRNA from 1 species
UACGUAGGUGGCAAGCGUUGUCCGGAUUUACUGGGCGUAAAGAGCGCGCAGGCGGUCGUCCAAGUCGCGUGUGAAAGCCCCCGGCUCAACUGGGGAGGGUCACGCGAUACUGGUCGACUCGAAGGCAGGAGAGGGAUGCGGAAUUCCAGGUGUAGCGGUGAAAUGCGUAGAUAUCUGGAGGAACACCGGUGGCGAAGGCGGCAUCCUGGACCAAUUCUGACGCUGAGGAGCGAAAGCCAGGGGAGCAAACGGG